rnacentral:rRNA from 6 species
AACGACUCUCGGCAACGGAUAUCUCGGCUCUCGCAUCGAUGAAGAACGCAGCAAAAUGCGAUACUUGGUGUGAAUUGCAGAAUCCCGUGAAUCAUCGAGUUUUUGAACGCAAGUUGCGCCCGAAGCCUUUCGGCCAAGGGCACGUCUGCCUGGGUGUCACGC